rnacentral:rRNA from 1 species
UGCAAGUCGAACGAGAAUCUGCUGAAGGAGGAUUCGUCCAACGGAUGCAGAGGAAAGUGGCGGACGGGUGAGUAACGCGUGAGGAACCUGCCUUGAAGAGGGGGACAACAGUUGGAAACGACUGCUAAUACCGCAUGAAGCAUAGGGGUCGCAUGAUCCUUAUGCCAAAGAUUUAUCGCUUCAAGAUGGCCUCGCGUCUGAUUAGCUGGUUGGCGGGGUAACGGCCCACCAAGGCGACGAUCAGUAGCCGGACUGAGAGGUUGAACGGCCACAUUGGGACUGAGAUACGGCCCAGACUCCUACGGGAGGCAGCAGUGGGGAAUAUUGGGCAAUGGGCGCAAGCCUGACCCAGCAACGCCGCGUGAAGGAAGAAGGCUUUCGGGUUGUAAACUUCUUUUAAGAGGGAAGAGCAGAAGACGGUACCUCUAGAAUAAGCCACGGCUAACUACGUGCCAGCAGCCGCGGUAAUACGUAGGUGGCAAGCGUUGUCCGGAUUUACUGGGUGUAAAGGGCGUGCAGCCGGGUCUGCAAGUCAGAUGUGAAAUCCAUGGGCUCAACCCAUGAACUGCAUUUGAAACUGUAGAUCUUGAGUGUCGGAGGGGCAAUCGGAAUUCCUAGUGUAGCGGUGAAAUGCGUAGAUAUUAGGAGGAACACCAGUGGCGAAGGCGGAUUGCUGGACGAUAACUGACGGUGAGGCGCGAAAGUGUGGGGAGCAAACAGGAUUAGAUACCCUGGUAGUCCACACUGUAAACGAUGAAUACUAGGUGUGCGGGGACUGACCCCCUGCGUGCCGCAGUAAACACAAUAAGUAUUCCACCUGGGGAGUACGAUCGCAAGGUUGAAACUCAAAGGAAUUGACG